CGCAAUGGGCGAAAGCCUGACGGAGCAACGCCGCGUGAGGGACGAAGGCCUCUGGGCUGUAAACCUCUUUUCUCAAGGAAGAAGAUAUGACGGUACUUGAGGAAUAAGCCACGGCUAAUUCCGUGCCAGCAGCCGCGGUAAUACGGGAGUGGCAAGCGUUAUCCGGAAUUAUUGGGCGUAAAGCGUCCGCAGGCGGCUUUUCAAGUCUGCUGUUAAAGCGUGGAGCUUAACUCCAUCAUGGCAGUGGAAACUGAAAAGCUUGAGUAUGGUAGGGGCAGAGGGAAUUCCCGGUGUAGCGGUGAAAUGCGUAGAUAUCGGGAAGAACACCAGUGGCGAAGGCGCUCUGCUGGGCCAUUACUGACGCUCAUGGACGAAAGCCGGGGGAGCGAAAGGGAUAGAUACCCCUGUAGUCCUGGCCGU
rnacentral:rRNA from 1 species